UUUUAGCCCUGAUCGAAAUGUAAAUCUCCCGCUUUUUUUAGCGGGAAUUGAAAUGUAGAGCAGGAAAUAUG
rnacentral:sRNA from 2 species